rnacentral:rRNA from 1 species
UGCAAGUCGAGCGGACAGAAGGGAGCUUGCUCCCGGAUGUUAGCGGCGGACGGGUGAGUAACACGUGGGUAACCUGCCUGUAAGACUGGGAUAACUCCGGGAAACCGGAGCUAAUACCGGAUAGUUCCUUGAACCGCAGGGUUCAAGGAUGAAAGACGGUUUCGGCUGUCACUUACAGAUGGACCCGCGGCGCAUUAGCUAGUUGGUGAGGUAACGGCUCACCAAGGCGACGAUGCGUAGCCGACCUGAGAGGGUGAUCGGCCACACUGGGACUGAGACACGGCCCAGACUCCUACGGGAGGCAGCAGUAGGGAAUCUUCCGCAAUGGACGAAAGUCUGACGGAGCAACGCCGCGUGAGUGAUGAAGGUUUUCGGAUCGUAAAGCUCUGUUGUUAGGGAAGAACAAGUGCAAGAGUAACUGCUUGCACCUUGACGGUACCUAACCAGAAAGCCACGGCUAACUACGUGCCAGCAGCCGCGGUAAUACGUAGGUGGCAAGCGUUGUCCGGAAUUAUUGGGCGUAAAGGGCUCGCAGGCGGUUUCUUAAGUCUGAUGUGAAAGCCCCCGGCUCAACCGGGGAGGGUCAUUGGAAACUGGGAAACUUGAGUGCAGAAGAGGAGAGUGGAAUUCCACGUGUAGCGGUGAAAUGCGUAGAGAUGUGGAGGAACACCAGUGGCGAAGGCGACUCUCUGGUCUGUAACUGACGCUGAGGAGCGAAAGCGUGGGGAGCGAACAGGAUUAGAUACCCUGGUAGUCCACGCCGUAAACGAUGAGUGCUAAGUGUUAGGGGGUUUCCGCCCCUUAGUGCUGCAGCUAACGCAUUAAGCACUCCGCCUGGGGAGUACGGUCGCAAGACUGAAACUCAAAGGAAUUGACGGGGGCCCGCACAAGCGGUGGAGC